UACGUAGGCGGAAAAUUAAGUCAGUAGUGAAAUCCCACAGCUUAACUGUGGAACUGUUAUUGACACUGGUUUUCUUGAAUAUAGUUGAGGUAGGCGGAAUGUGUAAUGUAGCGGUGAAAUGCUUAGAUAUUACACAGAACACCGAUUGCGAAGGCAGCUUACUAAGCUAUGAUUGACGCUGAGGUACGAAAGCGUGGGGAGCGAACAGGAUUAGAUACCCUGGUAGUCC
rnacentral:rRNA from 1 species